ensembl:lncRNA
ACCAUAAAGGCCUACUCUGGCCAUGAUUGUGCACCCUUCACUCAGCAACAUGCAAAAUACCGAUGUGCUAUAAGUACUGCCUCAGCUGAAACCAACACAACAAACCAGCCUGAACAGUUUUUCUUGUCCUGUGAAGUCCUGGAUCUUCUAUGAAAGAGAACAAGCACUUCUACAAUGAUUUCUAGAAUAUCCUGCUAUCUGUGAUGGCCAUCCUUUUGCGAUCAUAGGGUCAUAAUUUAUGAUUCAGGAUUCAGAUCUGUGCCAUAAAUACUAUGCAAAUUAUUCUAUGCUAAAAAAUAAAUCUAGCAACAAACAACUCUAUAUGUCUGUUAGCUUGUGAACAGUAUAAAUAUUUUUAUUUCACUACAUACAAAUCUAUGGAAAUAAUAAGAAUAGGAAAAAAUAUUCAUAAUAUUAUUGAAUUCUAUUUUUAUCACCUUUUUUUCUUAUUUUCAAGUCUGCCAGCAAGAUGGGUCUGCUUUAAAUAUUCAUUGCUAGUGUCUCACAAAGUAGAUGAUGAUACUUAUUAUUAUUUAGGAUUCAGGAAUAUCUGUAUUUCUCUGUAGUAUACAGUUCUCAUCUUCGUUCUGAAAACUAAUUUUUAUUUCUGUAGAAUGGAGUCCAUAUGCUCAGUAACGGAGAAACUGCUUCUGAGAAUAUAUUAGUUCUAAUUUGGAAGUCUAAUUAUAAAUGCUGCUGGGAAGGUCAUAUUUCAAAAAUAAUGAUGUUAAAACUCUCCUGGUAGGAAAGGUCUUACAGUUUGAGAAUCUCUUUCCUUCUACUUAACUGAUUUGUAAUUCCUUGCCAUCAUUAUAAAUACAUAAGCAUUGCCUCGUAACAUCAUAAAAUAUUCAAAAUUUUUGGAAUCAACAGUUUUCUGUUACUUUCCUUCUGAUCUAAAAUAUAAAGUUGAUGAAUGUCAGAUCCUUACCUCUGAGAGGUUUAAACAAACAAAAAAGAGAUAGAAGACAACACCAUAAGCUUGGUGGGCUGAUAUUAUAAAAACUUCUGAUGUCUUCGGACUGAAAUUAAACACUUUAUUCAGAACGCUACUUACUAGAAGGAUAAUGUAAACCUAGAAGUAAAAUGCUUCACCUUGAAUUAUAUCUUUAAGUUUCAUUUUUUUUUCAAUUCCCUUGUUU